rnacentral:misc_RNA from 1 species
GAUGAAGAACGCAGCGAAAUGCGAUAAGUAAUGUGAAUUGCAGAAUUCAGUGAAUCAUCGAAUCUUUGAACGCAUCUUGCGCUCCUUGGUAUUCUGAGGAGCAUGCCUGUUUGAGUGUCAUUAAAUUCUCAACUACACUGACUUUGAAUUGGUGUGGCUUGGAUUUGGGGGGAAAAUUGUUGUGGGCUUUUUGUAUAGUCUGCUCCCCUGAAAUUGAUUAGCGGUACCUUUGUGGAACUGUCUACAGGUGUGAUAAUUAUCUACAUCUUAGACAUCUGCUGGAAUGCUGCUUUCUAAACCUUACUUGUAUUGACAAUCUUGACCUCAAAUCAGGUAGGACUACCCGCUGAACUUAAGCAUAUCAAUAAGCUGAGGA